UCUCUUUCAUACUAUUUUCAUUGUUACCUCUCUCUCUCUCUCUCCACAGAGUGUCCGUCCUGACUGUAACUGUGACACGUACACAGGUCUGAACAUGAGGACCAUGUCCCCUGACUAUGACACUGUGGCAAGUGUCCAUCCUGACCCUAACAGUGACCCCAGAAAUGACAUGUACUCACCUCUGAACAUGAAGACCAGGUCACCAGAGUAUGACACCCUGGCAAAUGUGAGGGGACCCUCCCACUGAAGAGGACCACCACAGAUCCUGGACUGAAGAGAACCACCACAGAACCUGGACUGAAGAGAAGCACCACAGAACCUGGACUGAAGAGAACCACCACAGAACCUGCACUGAAGAGAACCACCACAGAACCUGGACUGAAGAGAACCACCACAGAACAUGGAUUGAAGAGAACCACCACAGAACAUGGACUGAAGAGAAUCACCACAGAUCCUGGACUGAAGAGCUACAGUUCCAAUCCAAAGCCAGGCCUCACACCUCUAUUCUCUUGCUAUCUUAUAUAGAUGGUUUUCUAGACCAUGAACUUUAACUUUUGAGUAAAUGCUGGAAUAUAUUUUAGAUUUUAUUAUUAUGAUAAUUAUGUAUUUCGAUGAUAAAUGGGAUGGGUUAUGCUUCUGCUUU